UUACGGCCAUAUCACGUUGAAACAUCAGUUCCCAUACAAUCGCCGAAGUUAAGGGAAGUUGAGCUUGGUCAGUACCUAGAUGGGUGACCGCUUGGGGAAU